GGAGAAAGUUGUGGGUUAAGGGGGGUUGAAGGACUCUGUGGUGAGAAAAAAUAAAGAGAAGAUCAAAAAGAAGGAGAGAGAGGAGGUCACAUUAUCACUAAGCCCAUAAAGGCCGCGUCAAUGAAAAGACGGGCGGACGGAGGUCAAAAGAGCGAAAAAACGAAGGAGGGGUAGCCGGACGCAGGGCGAGAAGAAAGGAGAGAGCAGCUCAGCAAAGGAUUUCAGUAUAUCAAUAUGAAGGAGAGAGCUUAAGUGAUUUUGUCAAUCAGAUGUUCUCCUGCUGGCCUUGACUCCCAGCUGCCCCUCAGACUCGUUUUUCAUCCCUGAACCAGCAGCUGAUAAAAGGACACGUUUCACUAAUGAAAGUCCAACCAUUUUACUGCAAAUGACAUACGUAUAAAGACCACUUUUAUUCCCAUGUCUCUGCAGCAGACUGUAAAAUGUAUCUAAAUGAAAAUGAUCACCUCACGAUUCAGAGUGGGCCUCAGAAGACGCAGAAAUCCAGUUUCUUUGGCCUUUGGCAGCACAUCGUGAUGCCACUGUUUACCAUUUCUAAGACCUUGGAUUCAAGUAUUUAACACGCAUCAUACCUAAGAGGUCAGAAGGCAUUCGCAAAUGGAAAACAAUAAACACAUCUGCGGAGUGUGUGACUCACGUAAUGCAUUGGGCAACGCGUAGGGACCAUGACAAUAAAAGGUUUAUAUGUGUGUGAGGGAGAAUGUGUGUUGUCCAGGGAACGAGGUGCAACACGCUACAAACCCAGAUAUUUUUGUCCAUUCAAACAUGCACACACACACACACACACACACACACACACACACACUAAUUUGACUGUGUGCUCGUAAAAGAGCGCUUUUCACGCGUGCACUCACACUCAGCAGCAGUGGACAGAUGCAUGGUGACAGGGCUGCAGAGCACUGGAUUAAUACACUUAGUGUUCCACAUGUCACACUGGAUCACUGCAAUCAUGAGCAUUUCAGGCUUCUCUCUCUCUCUCUCUCUCUGAUUACUUCUACCACCGCGGCCAGUCUGUCCAUCCAGACAUCUACUCAACCAGUCGGUCACCCAGCAAACAUCGGACUGACAGCCCAACGGCCCCCGGGGGCGCCGGCCGGCCGCCCUGCCGCCCACCCGGCAUUCCGACGCACGUUGACAACCGGUCAUCAGAGCAGCUGGCCUCGCUUCCUGCUACGUUGUUAGUACAAAGCCAAGUCUAGGAGGAGUCAUUUUGAAAAACCAGGGUGUCUUAAAACUCGCAUUCUCUCCCCUGACCAACAGGAGCGCUGCAGAGCACGCUUGAGGGCGGGGCUACGGUGUGAUCGACAGCUCCCAGCCUCUGCCAGAGACCAAUGCACCCUGCUCUUUUCUGAUGAGAGCGGCUAGCAGCACCGGCACCUAAAGUUGCUAAACCUAGCGAGGAAGUUGCCCAUUCAGCAACGGUGACGGCCCCUCCCUUCAAGAGGCGGCAUACCAGCCAGGCAGCCGACCGGGGAGCCGGUCAUUCAAGGUCGACAAACAGCCCAAGGUCGGGUCCGCAAGAGGCCCGAUGCCAGAAGAAUGCUGCCGUCAUGAAAACAAUGUCAUGUGCAAAGAUCACAAGCCGACUCGCUGAGCACAUGCGUGUGUCUCACGGGAACACUGGCGUGCGCGCGUAGAGGUGCAGACGGGAGGUCAGGGUCAAGAGGGGGAGCGGGCCGGGCACAGUAAAGCCGUAGCCUACUCGUGCCAUUUUAAGAUCCGCCCUCGUUCGCCUCCUGGUGUUUAUUUUAGAGAGCGACCAACGGCGUGACGAUUUACUCGCCCAGCGGCCCUCUUUUUGUUGCUAUGGGGCUUUAACUGCCUUGUAAACAACCUAAAAGCUGUUGUUUUAUCAGAUCAGAGACGCUUCGUCCCUCAGCUGUUUUUGACUGGGUAGUAAUAAAACUUCUGCACCAAUUAUUUCACACCGAGAAAGCAGCUGAAGCCUCUUAAUGAGCAGCCAUCCUUCUGUAGGGCAAACUGUAUGUUGGAAAGAAAGAGGCAGAAAUAACAUCCACAUCACAGAAAUGUUGAAAGCGUCUAAAUCAUCAGUAUCAAUUCUCCCUCCUCAUGAAGCUUAAAUGUACCGAGGUGUGAUCCAGACUGAACUGAACAGACAGUAAACGGCUAUUUCUCACUACAUGGGCCCCCCCUGUUUCCUGGUGCUGUUGGGUCAUGGUCGACCUACUUCAAAUCAAAUCAAGCAUUCGUAGAGUGCGGAUUAAAAUGUGCACAAAAAACAAGAGAGGCUCUUGUUUCCCUCGAGGGCUUGUGUGGAUCCCAAAAUGUCAUACGUAUUUCAAGGAUCAUUUGUUUUUUUCCCUAAUAAGUGAAAAGCAUUUCCAUUAAUGCGACGCCGGAUGUUUGCGGUGAUCGAGUUGACCCGUCGCCAAUUAAGUCUCGUUCAACUCCUAACCUUCUGCUGUUAAUACCCGUCAUGUCGCUUAAACAGCGGAAACAUUGGACUUUGAAUUAGCUGCUCCGACCUUCAAUUUCAGUGGAUAUCAGCCAACAAAGAGGAAGCAGAGUGGAGCUUGUGGAUGUUUUCUGGACUUGUCAUUUUGCUUUGUUGGUGUUUGAGUUGAUUCCACAAUUUGGAACUCUUACACCCUCAGACUGUAAUUCCUAUUCAGCAUUAGUCAUGAUUUGUCUUUUUGCUGAUGUUUGUUGAUAAGGUCAGGAGGUCAAACUCCAUGAGGCAGAAGGGAGCUAUGAUGAGGAUGAUGAUGGGGGUCAGGUGUACUGCCUUUUGAUUUGAACAGGGAACCACUCCGGGACGCGUCAGCAGAUUCCUUCUCGCACCUCGAUUCAACAGCACUUUAUUCGUAAAUAAAGUGUGACUCACCGAAACUACACACACACACUGUGUGGUUGCCCCGCCCCCCCGGGGUCUUACAGUGGGGAAUGCGUUGAUUGGCUGCGAUGGCGAUGGAGCGGUAAACUCCUGUUGAAGUGUGAGCGUAAUCCCCGAGAUGGAUCCUUAUGGUGAGUUCUUUGGAGAGCAGCCCGGUCCACACGCUUCAGCUGGCCCCACUACACACACACACACACACACACACACACACACACACACACACACAGAUAUAAAUAGUUUAAGAACCAUAGCACACACAUUUUUUAAAAACAUUAUCAUGUUCUCACCCCGUCACAGCAUUUCCACUGGAUUAUAAAAUGUUCUGUCUCAUAUAUUAACAAGAUCAACAAAAUCAUUCGGCUCAUGGAGAUGCUUCGCAUAUUAAUUAAUUAAUUAAUUAAGUACAGUGAGAAGAAAUACAGUGUAACAUUUUUAUAUAUUACAAACUUUCCUCUCAAAGUUCUGUCUCUAAAGACGAAAACAUUUCAAAUCUAAAAGAAGCUGUAAUUUUUAUUCUAAAAUAGCCAGCAUUAAUUUGAAAGAUUUUGUGUGUUAAUGUGAAGAAGGUUGGUCUCAUGUUGCUCCAUCGAUACCGAUUCCACCUCAGCCGGAAAACAAACGACAUUUCAAGAUCUGGUCCCAGUCACACAUAUACAAGUCACAUACAGACAGAUUUCCAUGUGUCACAUCAUCAGACGUUGAUGAUGAAAACACCUUAAACACAUUGUUUGCACACUGCGCGGUGGAAACAGCGUGAUGGACGUCAUUCGCAGCAACGCGUCUCCCGGUAGACGCCGAUCCAGGGUUUGUUAUCGUGAGGCUUAGACGUCCACAGCCACGGCGACUGACGCUCUGUCACCAAACAGCAAGAGUGUUUACGGUGUCAGCAGCCGGCAUGGAGGAUUUCACCCGCGGCCCGAACACUGCUGAGCCCGAUAGGGGAGGUGUCUGAUCUAAUCUGCAUCCAUGGGAUGGCAGAGUAUUGACUCAGCAAUUUACCCCCAGAUGUUUUUUUCAGUUUUUUUUAUCCUUACUCAGCCAAAUCCAUCACAAAACAAGGAAACAUCCCACGACGGCACCUGCUGCUGUUUGCUCAGACGCCCCUUUACCGCUCUGCUGCUAUUUUCUCACUGCACCGAAACGGGAAUUUGUUUCUUUUAAGUUGCCGCGACCUCAUAACCUGCAGCAUCAGCCAGGACAUCACAGCGGGCCUGAAGGAGCUCAUUUUACGGUCGCGCCCACUCGAAGAUGCUCCGCACGCAGCGUGUUAGUGGCAGCGGACAGCACAAAUAUGUAAACAUGACCUUUUGGAAACGUUGCCGCGCCUUUGAGAAAGUGACCCCCUCGCGCCUGCCGGGGGGCCGAGGGGAGCAGAGACCAGUUGGCGGGAGGGUCCAGGAUCACGAUGGGUGCAAGUCAGCGGCUUUGCGAUCACAGAUUUAGGUCACGUGACCUUGUUUUGCGGCAGCGGUUAGUGAGCAUGCCGUUCUGCAGCAUGCCGGUGUGUCUCGCCCCUCAUUUUGUGUCCUGUUCGCUCUGUGGUAACUGCUCAUUAUGUGUCGAGCAAACAGGUUGGAAACUGUAGCUGGCAGAACGGAACGUGCGGUGAUGAUGUAACGGCCUCGUGCACGUUGUGUAAGCAUGUUACAUGACCUCUUCUUUGAGACUCAGGGAUGCAGACUCAUUGGCACUGAAUGAUAGUUACAAAACGAUCUACUCGGAGGCCAUAUUAUGAAAGCGCUUAUGUAUGUGUGCUGUUACAUAAGACGUAAGAAGGUUUGUCUGGGUGCAAACAAAAUCUGCAUGCAACAUUUUUAGGCGACCUAAAUGUCAAUAAACUUAAAUAAACACAGACAACUCCCAGACUGGACGGUGCCGUGGUAGCAACCUGUCAAUCACAGUAGCCCCGCCCUAAAGCAUAUCCUCCUUUAUGAUCCAUUUGACUCUGAAUGGAUCAUAUUUGGCUUAAUUCCCAUCAUGCAUCAGAUUGUAAUUGAUAGAAUCUUGUGUCGAAUGUUCUCUGAGGACAUAAAUCAAGAGAGACGCAUUUAUCAAGUACAUUAAGUUUAUUAACUUUUAUUUAUCAAGUCAUUUUCUCAUAAACUUCCACACAACCAGAAGAGUCGCCUCCUGCUGGUCAGUAGAGAGAAUGCAGGUUCAAGGCACUGCUCUUCAAGGCAUUUUAUCAAGUAAAUAUAAGUAUUAUUAUUAUUGUAACCACACUGAAUAAGUAUUUGCACAUACGGCCUAAUGGCAGAGUGCACUGAAAGCGCGUUUUCAACAGACACAUUCUGUUCAUUUUUUUCCUGAGGGAACCCUGACCGACCGUAGCGUCCAUCCUUUUGUUUUCCAGCAGGGAAACCGUUGCCGUGGACGCAUCAUACCGGGAAUGUUUUGCAUGCUGUGCUUCCAAUCACGUGCUUGUCCUCGUAAUAUCAGCAGACACCCGGCAAGACAAACAUGUCCUUGCUUGGUAGGCCGAGGUUCGCUCCCUCUGUCCUCCCGCCUGUGGUUUUAUCUACUGUCCUCUUGCCUCCCCACAACCAGGAGGCUGCGGGGAGGCAAGAAAUCCCGCCCUCAACAUGCCGAUGAGUGCCAGUGGACAACGCACUCUCCGUCCGUCCGGAUGUCCGCCCCCCCCCCCUCGAUGUGAGAUACUGAGGCCUCAUUAAAUGUUAGCGUCUACCCCACAGACUUCCUGUUUGGCCCGAUGACGCGCACACAACAAAGUGUGGCUGGAGCGCAGAGAAUGUGAGAGGGUGAAUGUGUGGAUAAAGCAGAUGGGUCUUGUGUGUGUUUGGAGAGAGAAACAAACACGUGUACACAAGCAGAUGGUUAAUCAUCAAUCAAUGCUCGUGUUGGUCAAUGAGUACAUGUGGUCUGACUGAUCGCUCUGUACAUUUACCUUAGAGGACAGGCUUUGUUUGACAGUCGGCCCUCCUCGGUCCUGCUUCUGGUUCUCCUCCGGGUCUGUGUUACCUCACUAGAGUUUAUCAUUGUGGAAUGAAGGAUUUCAUCGCGGGCUCUACUCCUUGCUUUCAGCUUUUUGAAGCGGAGCUUACUACACAAGAGCUGCCUUGUUUAACAGAGCAGCAGCAGCAGCAGCAGCAGAGGAGGGAACCUUCCAUUAGGACGCUCAGUCCGGACCGGGUGACAUCACACGUGGGCUGGUCUGUUCUGGAUGGACCGGUCCCCUGGCUGUGGUUAUUCAUUGCAUUCAUUUGAUCUACAUUUCACCCUCAUCUCUUUCAUCUCUUUCCCCUCUGCUCUCUUUUGCUCUUUGAGUUUCUCUCGUCCUUGUUUUGACUCUUUUGCUCUCUGCGCAGCUUUAUUGUCAUCUCCUCAUCGCUGUGCGCACACUUUCUUGCUGUUUUGUAUGCACAUAUGCAUCAUUAUCCUUUGUCUUGAGGAAGAUGAUCUGUGAUAAAACGCGUUGCGUCCCGUCCAUCUUGCGUUUGGGUAUGUAUCAGUCGGAUGUGUGUGUGCACAUACAGCCUGCACAUGAUGACUACCUGUGAUACAUGAUAAGAUUUAUACCAAAGUGGACAGACUGCAGUCCCAAAGCGCAUUUUCUGUGUGUGCGUUUGUGUGCGUGUGCUGUUUUACAGCUCUCUCUCACUCAGACUGAAUUCCUGCAGCUCCUCUCUGGUCGUCUGUUGAACCACUUUCUUGGUAUUCAACAACUACGAUGGUGACGACUGAUGGUGUUGUUAACUGUUUUUAAAUCUCCUUGCUUUAUUUUUGGAUGUUUGUAAUGGUUUCAUGUGACGCACUUUGAAUUGCCUUGUUGUGGAAAUGUGCUAUACAAAUGAAAUUGCCUUGAUGAUGAUGAUGAUGAUGGUGGCCAAUAGGCAGACGGCACAGGGGCGGGAUGUCUGCACUACAUGGACAUGCAUGCAAACCAUCGUGGGCAUAAAUAUGCAUGUUUUCUGGUGACAUCACACAUGGAGUGUAAGCGGACAGACAAGUCAGGGGACGCUGUGGAGUGUGUGUUUGUGUGUGUUUGUGUGUGCGUGUGCCGCCCUACUUCCUGAAAGAUCAAUAUUAUUUUAAAUUAGACUUGAGGGCUGAAAAGAGACAGUGACCUCUGGUCCAAUAUUUAUGUAUACAUACAAACAUACAGACUGUGAUACGUGUACUUGUCCGUGUGUGUUUCGGUGUGUGCUUCUCUACUGACAGUUUAACAAACAUGUGACUCCUACCCGGGAUGCCGCUGUUAAGUGAAUCUGGUUUCACAAUAAGAGCCUCUUUUAUCAACCAGUUGAAAGGUUUUAUUGUGAAGCAGCCGCCGUAGGAGAACGUUGUGUUUGCUUCAGCAGAAACGUAACACCUCUUGCAGAGAGAAUCCCUGUGGAGUCGAUGCACGACUUUCUGCAGCCCUUCACAGGUCAACGGUGGAAGCUAAAACUAAUAAUCCAAACGGGGAGAGAGCUGGACUAAAGGGACAAAAGAAAACUUUGUGACGGAUUAUGAAAAGAUAAAUACACAGUUGUAAGAACAAUUUAUGGAGAAACCUAAAUAAAUAUGAACAAGGACAUUGAACAGGCUACGGAGUAAUAGUCAAUAUUAGAAGAUAUAUAAGGAAUUAGUACUAAACAUUCACUCCGAAGCCAAGAAUAAAGAAAAUUGUCUUAAAUAAAAGUGUUUAUUUAAUGCUGGAAAAGUCUGAGAAUGACACAGGACGGGAAGCGAAAGCCGAGGCGAGAAGGUGCGAAAGCUCCUGUCUCGUUGCGUUUCUUGUUGACGAGACGACUGUGGCUUUGAUGAUGGGUGACAUAUUCGGGGUCAGAGGUCAAGGGGACUGACAGCUCGGGCGCUGGCGCGUUCACGGCCUCCGGCCUGACGGGCGUGACUGACGGACGGCGAGGAGACGCCAUCUAAGACGGAGGUGCUGGUGUGCAGUACGGGCCAACUGGUGUGAGGAUGAAGACGAUGAUGAUAAUCCCCCGUUAAUUUAGAAGACUAAAGACAAAAUGUCACUGAACAAAAUGUCGCACUUAAUAGAAAAAUUAAUACUAAUAUGCAUAGUAGCAUUAGUAACAUUACACUAGUAAUAAUAGUUCUUCCCUAAUGGUUGUAGUGGUGACAUACACAGUACUAGCACUGUGCUUGAAGCAGUAGUAGUAGUAAAUGGAGUAUAUGGUCGGUCCGUCAGUUUGUUAAUCUGCCGAGUUCCUGCAGAGAUGUUGAACCUCCUGACCUCUUUAGCCAGAUAAUGAUGCCGUAAUCUCAAAUCUGAAAACACACACACACACACACACAUGCAUCCCCUAUAACUCAUUUCAUGAACUCCAGACGGCCUUUGACAUGUUGUUGUUGUAUGCAGUUUAUAUUCAUACACCGUCCCUCUGCCUCUCUUUAAUAAAACAAACUCUCAAAACAAACAAAUACAUUCAUGCAUUGAAAUUUAAGUGGCUUAAAUAUUCAGCGUACCGUGUAAAAAAUGGACUGUAGUCUGAAUACAAGAAGAAAAAACACAACAAUAGGACACAAUUAACACGCACCAUUGUAACAAAAGAUAAAUAUGAUUUCUGCAAAUUCCAAACACACAAAUAAUAUCUCAUCAUUCUUUGCUUUCUCCCUAUAUAUGUGUUUACCUGCAAUACAUUCAAUGCAAAUUACCAUACCUAUCUACCUAUAGUGUCUCUCUCUCUCUCUCUCUCUCUGACCUCUGUGACUCCCGCUCGCCCUUCCUGCCGUUUGUCGCUCGCCCAUCGUGCUGCAUGCUUACUGCAGCACGAAGGCAAACCAUCGACGCAGCGCACGACACGGCCUUCUGCUGUUGAUAACCGAGGUGCACAAACCCAACACACACACACACACACACACACACACACACACACAGACACACACAUGACAGCUGUGCCUUUAAGCGAGCAUCAAAACCACACAGAAAUCUUCAAUUCAUUCAUUUUGUUCACAAUAAAUCAUUAUUUUUAGACUUGGCUUUGUGUUUAUAAUUGUGAUGCCUUCUGACACCAACAAGCGUCAACACCGUCGACAUAUUUAGAUUUGUGCAACAUUUUUGGUCAAAAAUAAUUCAUAAUAAGGAUCCUACGGCUAAAAAAUGGAUUUGCAGGUGCUGUCACUUUUGGCCACAUGGCCAGGUAAGAGGGAGUGUGUGUGUGUGUGUGUGUGUGUGUGUGUGUGUGUGUGUGGUUAGUGGGGUCAUGGAGUGGCGACCAGCAGAGUUAUUGAUGCCAGUGACCUUCAGGCCCUGAAAUGACGGCGGUCUUCUCAAUAAUGGAUUGGACUGCUCAUAUGGGGAAACCUGUGUGUAUGUGUAUGUGUGUGUGUGCGUGUGUGUGUUUGCCCAUGUGUGUAUACCAGAGAGUAUGAGACAGUGACAGAUAUAUAGCUCUUUAUAAGCAUAUAUGUGACUCUGUGUGAGAUAUGUCUGUGAAAAUGACUUUGUACGUGUGUGUGUGUGUGUGUGUGUGUGUGUGUGCCUCAUGGGGGAGUUCAUGGCUGCGGUGCACAUCCUGCAGAUCUGUCUUCCUGCCGGCGUCGGGGCCUCCUGUCAGGACCACGGACAGCUACCACGGAGGUCAUCGCUGCCUUCUUCCAAAGACUGUAAAAACAUACCUCCCCGCCAUCGGGCCUUUUUCUUCUUCCAUUGUGAACAUUGUUGUUUUCUGGCAGAGAAAAGUGACGGCUUAGUAGUAAAUCCAGAGGCCAUAAUUAGGAGUGAUGCAAUGUCAAUUAGGAAGGAGAACAAACGCGACUUUUAUCCAGCAGCUGGUGCACAGUCGUGUUUUGGCUCAUGGAGAAGAGUCCAUUCCUUAAAUCUCCACCAUUUAGGUGGUUUAAAGUUUGCAAGAACAAAAGUCAAAUAGGACACAAUUAUUAGAAUAUGAACAAGUUAUCAAAAAAAAGCACUUGACAGCUUACGAUGUUUGGACAGAAUGAGCUUUCAUUCGUCGGGUAUCUAGUUUAGUGGUAAAUAGCAGAAAAAGGAUGCCUGAAAUUAUUUUCAUACUUCAGUGUGUCUAAAAUUCACUGCUGUCAUUUUAAUCUCGCAGCCGACCUUUAUAGAAUUUGGGACAAUUUAGGGGGAGUAAACGGCUUAUUUUCAUCCCACGGGUUUCAGAUUUGAGAUCCUCACUUCUGUGAGAUAUUUUCAAGUAUUUCGAGGAAAAGUCCUUUUCAACCACAGCAAUGAGUUGAAUUUCACGCCGCUGUUUGUGGCUGUCAGCCUGAAUUGGGCGUAGGAGGAGCGGAAAGGUAAAAGCAGGUGACGGGGAGCCGAGGUGAGGAGAGAGACGAGGAGGAGGAGGAUGAGGAGGAGGAGGAGGUGAAGAGGGCCGCCGUGGAUGCAUUAGUCAUCGGAGAUUCACAGUUGGAGUUCCGCUUCAUUCCGUGAGUCACGGUUCCACCGGAGAGACGAUGAGGAGCUUCUAAACGCUGCUGAGAUUCUCCACGGAUGCAGCUUCAGAGGAAGCAAGAGCGAUGAAAUAUUUAGUGUAAUAAAGUUCAGCUGUAAUGGAAAGGAACAGUCAGAGGUCUGGAGGCAGGUAGCCGUAACACAAACACCAGGAGGGGGCUCAUCACGCGCCCAAGUGGCAUCGUAGAGCCUCCAACUCAACAACGAAAUCUAUUUUAAAUCUCUACUUCAGUA
ensembl:lncRNA